CUCCCUCAAUCUGUGUCCUGGAUUAUCCUCAUCUGCCUGCCAGUACUUACCUGUACAAGAGUUACUCACCUGAACUGCUGUUGUGGUGCUGCCUGUCUGCCUCCAACUAAACUCAGAACACUCACCUGCUCACUAACCUGCCUCUGUUUGGAUUACUGGACCUGGAGCCUCCUCUCAGUGCCAUGCCUCACUCCAUAACCUCAUCAAUCUGGAUCCUGCAAACAUCUCACCUGUAAAUAAAAUCACUUACCUUUUGUUAA